CAACUCCCAGAAUGCAUAUGCUCCGCUUCCCUUCGAGUCCACUCCCAAGCCACGCCUACCGGUUACAGACAGACAGGGAGGCAGUCAAGUCAACUCAAACGUGUUU